AGACGGGGUUUCACCAUGUUGGCCAGGCUAGUCUCAAACUCCUGACCUCAGGUCAUCCACCUGCCUCGGCCUCCCAAAGUGCUGGGAUUAUAGGCGUGAGCCACCAUGCCUAGCAAGCCUUUAGCUUUUCAGGAAGCCCAAAUAAGAUGACAGCUUUUAUCAUUAAGAAAGUCUGUGAGCCAUAGGACAAAGAGCUGGUGGGCUCCAGCUUGUUCUACAGACAUCCCAGAGCCCGGAGGCUUCAGGAAGCAGCAGCAACUUCAUGGCCGCCCUCUAAACAGAGAUCAAGAUUUCUCAAAAGGUUUGGGACAAAUAGUCAAGAUCUCAAAUUAAGCCUGCUCUUCAUCCUGGAUACCCCAUCUGGUGGAUAAUACCGCCAGCACCCCCACCAUCCUCCCAGCCAGAGCCUGGACACCCCCUGAUGCC